rnacentral:rRNA from 1 species
CCUGAACGCUGGCGGCGUGGCUAAGACAUGCAAGUCGAACGGUCUCCGCAAGGAGACAGUGGCGGACGGGUGAGUAAUGAAUCGCUAACGUACCCUUAGGCCUGGGAUAGCUAGCUGAAAGGUUAGGUAAUACCAGAUGAAAUGCUUUGGUCGCAUGACCGAAGUCUCAAAGCCGCAAGGCACCUUUGGCGCGGGCGAUUUCGUAUCAGCUAGUUGGUGAGGAACGGCUCACCAAGGCGAUGACGCGUAGCCGGACUGAGAGGUUGGCCGGCACAUUGGGACUGAGACACUGCCCAGACUCCUACGGGAGGCAGCAGU